GCCUCAACUAAAUUAUUUGAGGUAUUGCCUGCUCAAUGCGAGAGUAAAUAGCCGCAGUAUUCUGACUGUGCAAAGGUAGCAUAAUAAGUUGGUCUUUAAUUGAGAUCUAGAAUGAAUGGCAAGACGAGGAUUUAUCUGUCUCAAAUCAAAAGUUUUUGAAAUUGAAUUGUUUGUUAAAAUGCAAAUAUGUGUGAGAGGGACGAGAAGACCCUAUAGAUCUUUAAUGAAUUAUCUGUUUAUUUUAAGGUUUACAGGUAAUUCUUUUUAUUUGGGGAAAAUCCUGAAAUAAUAAAACUUCGGUUAAAAAGGAAAAAAAUUGAAAUUAUUAAUUUUUGAUCCACUAGAAAGAAUGUGAAAAAAUGAAAAAGUUACCUUAGGGAUAACAGGACAAUGAUCUUUUUAGAGGUCUUAUCUAAAGGGACGUUUGUUACCUCGAUGUUGAAUUAAGUUAUCUAAUUAAAGAAGAAAUUUUUAUAGUUGGUCUGUUCGACCAUUGAAAAC
rnacentral:rRNA from 1 species